AACGCGAAGAACCUUACCCAGGCUUGAACAGCGAGUGACCACUCAUGAAAGUGAGCUUCCGCAAGGACACUCGUAGAGGUGCUGCAUGGCUGUCGUCAGCUCGUGUCGUGAGAUGUUGGGUUAAGUCCCGCAACGAGCGCAACCCUUGUUUGCUGUUGCCAUCAGGUUAUGCUGGGCACUCUGCAAAGACCGCCGGUGAUAAACCGGAGGAAGGUGGGGAUGACGUCAAGUCAGCAUGGCCUUUAUGUCUGGGGCUACACACGUGCUACAAUGGCCGGUACAAACCGUCGCGAGCCCGCGAGGGGGAGCUAAUCGGAGAAAGCCGGUCUCAGUUCGGAUAGCAGGCUGCAACUCGCCUGCUUGAAGUUGGAAUCGCUAGUAAUCGCGGAUCAGCACGCCGCGGUGAAUACGUUCCCGGGCCUUGUACACACCGUACGUC
rnacentral:rRNA from 1 species